GUAAGUUCACCUGGAUGGAGGAGAUGAGAGGGUAGACUUGGAGCUCAGCAAGACCUAGAACUGCUCAAGUGACACCAAAGGGGACAGGAAGGGGAGGUGAUCUCCUUUGGAGGAUUUGGAGGAAAUAUUUUGGGGCUGAAAGAAACAUCCCAAAUAAUCCUCACAAGAGUCCGAUGAGAAGAGAGCCAGAGACAAGGAAACUGAUGUUCAGAGAGGACCAGAGACCCCCCACAAAGCCACAGAGUUGAUGAGGAAACUGAGUACCACGCAG
rnacentral:lncRNA from 1 species